ACUCUCUCUCUCUCUCUCUACCACAUACCACCCUUUUGGGAUUCUGAAAUGUCUUACUGAGCACUUUAUUCAAUCUAAAUUUAAAUAGAACUUUUCACCACUUCCCAAGAGAGAAACAACAAUGAAGGAGAUGAGAGCGAGAGGAACUGCACAGAGGUAAUGCUCCAUAUCAUUUGGCUAAUCUAUUCUUGUUUAUUAAUUUAUUACACGGAACAGUAAGUUUAAUGGCUUUAACUUUGAAGUGGAAAAGAAGCCCCCAAAGUAUACUUUCAAAAAAUGCAAUAAUGACUUUAGGAAGAUCUAGGACAAGGAUUUCAUUCUGUAUUUUAAAUUAUUUUCAAGACUUUAACCUUAGCCUUCAGAUUUAUCAUUUUACAUUAGCCAAAAUAAACUACCACCAUAAGAAACCAUGUAUUAUUAAAAUCAGAACAGUUUCCUAUAUUUAUUAGUUUGGUCAUAAAACUGCUAUUAGAAAUAGCAUACAGAUGAGUUUGAUAUCCAUAAAAUCACUGAAACAUAAGAUGACAUUUACUACCUGUGGUACAUAAUUAUACUCACACAGUUUUGGAUGCAUUUAUUUCUGUCACUGAAUCAUAAUUUCAGCAACUUGUACUGCAUUUCCAAAGUGGAAUUUUAAUUUUUUUCAUUCCUUUUAUACUUCCAAAUUUGGAAAGAUAAUUUCAACAAAAGAUUCCGCAGGAAGCAAAUGUCACAUUUUUAGAUAGUCUGUAUCGAUUUUCAAUUUUGUCAGUAGUUUUACCUUUUUGUCUUUUCUGCCAUUAAAUCGAUCAAACAAUUGAUAGGGGUUAGCUGCAAAUGUAUUAAUCUUUUUAGCAACCUAGUUUUUUACAUUGACUUUUAAAAUAACUAAAUGCAUGGUUGGGUGUGGUGAUACAUGCUUUUAAUCCUGGCACUUGGGAGAGAGAGAGGCAGGAAGAUCUCAGUGAGUUAGAGACCAGCCUGGUCUAUGUUGUGAGCUCUAAGAUAUUUAGUACUACACUGAUGAACCCUGUUUCAAAACAAAAACAAAAACAAAAACAUAAAUAAAUUAAAUAAAUUAAUAUAUAAGACAUAAA
rnacentral:lncRNA from 1 species